AUGCAGAGCAAUGGGAGAACGCCGCCACUGUUCUCCCCCAGGAGUGGCCGUGGGAUGCCACCACCUGUUGUUUAUUCCCGGAAACAGGGGGCUAGCGCCGAUGGCGGGCCUUCUGCCGUACAGAGAGACGGCGGCGGCAACCACCUUCCCAGCGGCACUGACGUUGGCCAUGGCCAACCAGUGAGCGAGAGGCCGCUUCAGAUCGUUCCUGCUAACACCAGAGCUGGGAAGGGCAAGAACGUGCCACCGGCCGGUGGCAACGGCGGCACUGCCGUGCCUGUAAAUGGCCGCGUACGGAAGACACGCGCGCCCAAGGGGAGCAGCACUCUAGCGGAAUCCAGGAAGGUGCCCGGCAAGAAAUCUGACGCUGGGGAACCGGCGAGCAUGCACCAUGGCGCCCAAGGCAACGACCAGCUGAAGACUGUCUCGGCUCCAAGCAACAGCAGGAAGAAGAAGAGCACGGCCUCUGCCUCGGUCGUGCCAUCGAGCCGGAGGCCUAGCAGGAAUAACAGUAGCACGUCCGGCACCGCGGCGGCCGGAGCCAAGAAGCACACCAUCCUGACAUGGCUGAUCGACUCCGGUGUGCUCAGAGAGAACGAGAAGGUCUCGUACGUGGACAGCACCAGCUUCGCCGCGAAGGCCUCUGGCGCGGUGACUAGGGCCGGCAUCCAGUGCACCUGCUGCAACACCGCGAUGGCGCCCCCGACCUUCUCGUCCCACGCCGGCUCCGAGGACUCGGCACUGUGGGAGAGGCUCCUGCUAAAGUCCGGCAAGUCGUUGCUGGAGUGCGUGCGGGAGGCGUGGCAGGGGGAGGACCUGAGGACCUUACACGCCAAGCAGAAGGCACGGGCUGCGCUGGAGAAAGAACGGGAGAGGAGCACACAGGAGAAGAAGCAUGCUCUGCUGCUCGCCAAGCAGAGCAGGAAGGAACGAGCCCUCCCCCUCGACGGGACCAACUAUGGCGGGGACGACGACCGGAGCGACGACGCAUGCGGUGUGUGCGCAGACGGCGGACAGCUGCUGUGCUGCGACAGCUGCCCAUCCACCUUCCACCCGGAGUGCCUUGCCGUGCAGGUCCCUGAGGACUCCUGGGUCUGCCACUACUGCCGCUGCUUCCUGUGCUCCGCCGAUGAUGAUGGCCAUUGCGGCCUCUCCAAGUGCAACCAGUGCACCCGCAAGUAUCACCACCACUGCCGCGCGUCCCUGUUGGACGGGCACGAGAUCGCCCCCUACUGCAGCAAAGCCUGCAACAAGAUAGCAGUGAAUCUGUCAAACAUGGUGGGAGCCACGACCAGCAUCGGCGAGGAAGGCCACUCAUGGUCCCUGUUAAAGAUCCAGCGGGGCUCCAUGACGUCAGACUCCGCCGCCCUGCUGGAGUGCAAUGCGAAGCUGGCAGUGGCGUUUGGCGUGCUGGAUGAGUGCUUCAACCCUGUGAAGGACCGGCUGACCGGCAUUGACAUGAUUCGCCAGGCCGUCUACAGCCUCGAAUCGGACUUCAAGCGGCUGAGCUAUGAAGGUUUCUACACCAUAGUUCUGCAGAAGGACACGGAGAUCAUAUCGGUAGCCUUGCUCAGGUUCCAUGGCGCCAAGCUGGCGGAGAUGCCGUUCGCGUGCACACUGCCGCAGUACCAUAGACAAGGGAUGAUGCGCCACCUCGUCAAUGUCAUCGACAAGGUUGCCACAACACACGUGAAACACUACUUGUUUCUAUCUAUUUUCGGCACAUCAUUUGUAAGUAUUGCACUGAUGCAUGUGCAUCUCUUGAGUCGUCAGGUGCUAGAAUCGGUGCAGGUGGAGAAUUUGGUGAUCUCGGCGGUGGCCGAGGUAGAGGACACAUGGAAGAAGCUUGGCUUCGUGACCGUAGAGCCGCAGCUGAGAGAUGAGGCCAAGAGGCUCAGCAUGGUCACCAUUCCCGGCACCAUCCUACUCCAGAAGCCCACCGCCAAGCAGGACGUGUUGCGGAUAACCGAGGACGAGCAGGCGUUCCUGGAGAUGAGCUGGCCGCGCUGCAGCUUCGUCGACCUCUUGACUGGGAUCGCGUUCCCAUGGCCGCCAUAUGCUGACCCUGUGGCCGCUGCGGUGAGGGGAGCGGGCGGCGGCGGUGGCGAGGCGUAA
rnacentral:rRNA from 1 species